ACUCCUACGGGAGGCAGCAGUGUGGAAUAUUGCACAAUGGGGGAAACCCUGAUGCAACCAUGCCGCGUGUGUGAAGAAGGCCUUCGGGUUGUAAAGCACUCUCAGCGAGGAGGAAAGGUCAGUAGCUAAUAUCUGCUGACUGUGACGUUACUCGCAGAAGAAGCACCGGCUAACUCCGUGCCAGCAGCCGCGGUAAUACA
rnacentral:rRNA from 1 species